GGCCUCAGUGGUGCAGUGGUAGCACACCGUCUAGGGGUGGGUGAAACGCGAAUUCAACUCCCGUCUAGGUCG